UGGCGAAGUGGUUAACGCACCUGAUUGUGGUUCAGGCAUUCGUGGGUUCGAUUCCCAUUA
rnacentral:tRNA from 1 species